UGGCGUAACGAUGGCCACACUGUCUCCUCCUGAGACUCAGCGAAGUUGAAAUGUUUGUGAAGAUGCAAUCUACCCGCGGCUAGACGGAAAGACCCCAUGAACCUUUACUGCAGCUUUGCAUUGGACUUUGACGGGACUUGUGUAGGAUAGGUGGGAGGCGUUGAGACGUGGUCGCCAGAUCGCGUGGAGCCAACCUUGAAAUACCACCCUGGUGUCGUUGAGGUUCUAACCUUGGUCCGUGAAUCCGGAUCGGGGACCGUGCAUGGCAGGCAGUUUGACUGGGGCGGUCUCCUCCCAAAGCGUAACGGAGGAGUACGAAGGUCUUCUAAGUACGGUCGGACAUCGUGCUUAUAGUGCAAUGGCAAAAGAAGGCUUGACUGCGAGACCCACACGUCGAGCAGGUGCGAAAGCAGGUCAUAGUGAUCCGGUGGUUCUGUAUGGAAGGGCCAUCGCUCAACGGAUAAAAGGUACUCUGGGG
rnacentral:rRNA from 1 species